GAUGAACGCUGGCGGCGUGCCUAAUACAUGCAAGUCGAGCGAACGGACGAGAAGCUUGCUUCUCUGAUGUUAGCGGCGGACGGGUGAGUAACACGUGGAUAACCUACCUAUAAGACUGGGAUAACUUCGGGAAACCGGAGCUAAUACCGGAUAAUAUUUUGAACCGCAUGGUUCAAAAGUGAAAGACGGUCUUGCUGUCACUUAUAGAUGGAUCCGCGCUGCAUUAGCUAGUUGGUAAGGUAACGGCUUACCAAGGCAACGAUGCAUAGCCGACCUGAGAGGGUGAUCGGCCACACUGGACCUGAGACACGGUCCAGACUCCUACGGGAGGCAGCAGUAGGGAACCUUCCGCGAUGGGCGAAAGCCUGACGGAGCAACGCCGCGUGAGUGAUGAAGGUCUUCGGAUUGUAAACCGCUUUCGCCUGUGACGAAGCGUGAGUGACGGUAAUUGGUAAAGAAGCACCGGCUAACUACGUG
rnacentral:rRNA from 1 species